rnacentral:lncRNA from 1 species
GAAGCGGCUACUGAAAUAGACCAGCUUUGGAAGCUGGGAACUUCCAGAUUCAAGGCUCCAGAAAGUCCAAGAUUCAAGGCACCAGCAGGUUUGGUUGUCUGGUGAGGGCUGCAUCCUCCAGAGAGGAGGAACUUCAUGUUUUCUCAUGGCAUACGGACAGGAGAGCAAGCUAGUGGAAUGUUGCGUGGCACCUCUUUCAUAAGGUUCUUACUUCCAGUAAGGAGAGAGAGGAGCCUUCACAGACUAAUCACCUCUUAAACGCCCCAUUCUUUAUUACUAUCACAUUGACAAUACUGGAAUUUUGGAGGGAAUACAUUCAAACCACAGAAAAUACAUCAUACUGAAUUGUUCCACCAAUGUACAUUGUUUAACUAUCUUUACAAAUUAAGAAAAAUUAAAUAUUCAGAAUUCUAG